CAACCCUGUCGGCGAGUGGCGAACGGGGGAGAAAUACAUCGGAACGUGCCCUGUAGUGGGGGACAGCCCGGCGAAAGCCGGAUUAAUACCGCAUACGCUCUGCGGAGGAAAGCGGGGGAUCCUUCGGGACCUCGCGCUACAGGGGCGGCCGAUGGCAGAAGAGCCAGUUGGUGGGGUAAAGGCCUACCAAGGCGACGAUCUGUAGCUGGUCUGAGAGGACGACCAGCCACACUGGGACUGAGACACGGCCCAGACUCCUACGGGAGGCA
rnacentral:rRNA from 1 species